rnacentral:rRNA from 1 species
UACGUAGGUGACAAGCGUUGUCCGGAUUUACUGGGCGUAGAGAGCUCGUAGGCGGUUUGGUAAGUUGGAUGUGAAAUCUCCAGGCUCAACUUGGAGGGGUCAUUCGAUACUGCCAUGACUAGAGUUCGGUAGGGGAGUGUGGAAUUCCUGGUGGAGCGGUGAAAUGCGCAGAUAUCAGGAGGAACACCCGUAGCGAAGGCGGCACUCUGGGCCGGAACUGACGCUGAGGAGCGAAAGCGUGGGGAGCGAACAGG